GUGUGGCUACCGCAAGCCCCAGAUCCUGGAGAACUAGGAGCCUUUUUUGUUGUUUUUAUGUGGAUACAAUUUUAAAGUUUAGUACAAAGAAAUUCCAGGACUUCCCUGGUGGUCCAGUGGUUAAGAAUCUGCCUGCUGAUGCAGGGGACAUGGGUUCGAUCCUUAGUCUGGGAGGAUCCCACAUGCUGAGGGGCAACUAAACCCAGGCACCACGACUACUGAAGCACUAGCGCCCUAGAGCCUGUGCCCUGAAACAAGAGGAGCCACUGCAAUGAGAAGCCCGAGCACCUCCAUGAAGAGUAGCUCCCGCUCUCCAGGACUAGAGGAAGGCCCAUGCAGCAACGAAGACCCAGCACAGCCAAAGAAACAAAAUUCCAUAUACCUUUUACCCAGAUUCACUUCACAUUUUGCUCAUUUCUUUUAUCGUUACUGUUUUUUCUUAACUAUUUAAAAGCAAGUUCAAAACAUUGUGUUUUUACCCUUAAAUAUUUCUAAGAAAAAGGAUAUUCAAUGUCAAAUGACCUUGACAUUUUUCAAGGUCACUGGCCAGUUAUUUGGGGCUUCCCAGGUGACUCAGUGGGCGGUUGAAUGUGAAAGGGUCCUACAAAUGUGGUCAUGCCGUGUUUUAAACUGUCUGUAACCAAUUGCUAUGACUUUUGCACAAACCCAUCCCGGAGGUCCGAGUGCCAAAGCUGCCCUUCAUGACUCGCGUCCACAGCCUGAAAAGCCCCUAGUGGAUCCUACCUCUGUGGCUGCUGCGACAGAGCUGCUGCCUUACCUGAGGCUUCCACGAACAACAGAGUGCAGGAAACAAGGCUCAAGAAAUGUUGCAUGGCUUGGUCUUUCACGUGACUCAGAAGAGGCAAAAGUGAAAUCUGAAAUCCUGCUGACUCUAAAGCCUGUGCCCUCAACCAUUAGGUUUUGUAGCGUUUCCACUCCUUCUGUUUUGCUUCCCUGUCUGGGCUCCUUCCUAGUUCAAGAUGGACAGUCAUCCAUAAGUUCCAUGUCACAUCUGUCAUCCUGCGUUCAAAGACAGAAAUGACUUCCUUCCACCUUUGCCCUCAGAACUCCUAGUGCUGGUCCGUAAAGUGACAUGUGGCAGCUGUGCUCAAAGGUCGGGGUCAGAAGCAGGGCGCCCCAUGGCUGGCUGUGGGCAGGGCCUGACUGCCUCAACAAAGGGGCCCGUCUUUUCCUCCAAUCCAUCAGAUCCAUCCCAGAGGGUUGGGCUGGGCUGGCCUCUCAGAUGACUCUGGGUGUAGAGACACACUGACCGUGCAGCUUUCCCUCCCGUCGGGGCUCCCUCGCUCUGGCCCAGGCACUUAGAGACACCAUGCCCCUCCUCUUUGUGUUCCUGCAUCCGCCUGGCGGCCUCCUCCUCCUUUCUUUGUGGCCCUCUCUCCCUCUGGCUCCCUUUGCUGGCUUUAUUCCUCCCAGGCUUCCUGUCACACUAAGCUCUUUG
ensembl:lncRNA